GAGCACCAAGUCAACACAAACCAUAUUGUAAGUUGCAUACUAUCUAUAAGAACUUUUCAAGUCAAUCAAGUCAAGGCGUGUAGAGUACGGUUAAUCAUCCUAUUUGCCAACGACAUAUUUACUUAGAGAAACUUUGGAAUAAUUGAAUCCAUUUAACAUUUUAUAUAAAUAACUCACCUAGCUAGUCUUUGUAUCACAUAUCCUUCCACUUCAAAACAACUCACAAUUAUUAUCAAGAAACACCAAAAAAGAAAAGAAAAAGAGCUUAGUAUCAAAAUGAAAGCGAGAUCAACUAAAGGAGGCUUGGUUGCAAUAUUGGCUAUAGUUGUUUAUUGCUUCUUCGAGAAUAUGGUGGAGGAGAAUUGCAUCGGAACGGAGAAGCUGAAUUCGAUAGAGAGAGGGAAGAUUCAAAUAGUCUUAGAUCGGGAAGUAGAUAGAGAGAGAGGAUGUGGUUAUGGUGGUGAUGGACGGAUAACUUCAAUAAGUAGAGAUGAUUCGUUGACUCUUAUCUACGCCUUCAUCCUCACAAAAUGCCGGAGCUGUACAAUGGUUUGAGAGAGGGUAGCUUGUUGAAUAUCUUGAGUGGUGGAAAGUAAAAAAAUUGUAAGAAUACUUCAAGUGUAAGUUCUAACGCAUGAUGUGUCUAUAUUUGCUCCUCUGAUUUAGUAACUUCAUUUAUUUGAACUUUUUUGUCUAGGAAAUGAACAAGCUACGAACGAGAAUGAAUUAUGGAUACUUAUGUCCCAUGAUUUGAUGAUGUCUUCUUUGACCUUCAGAUUGCAGGGGAGGAUUUUGGAAGCAUAAGUAAUUCUUUAAAGGCAAAGUGUUGAAGACGCUGAAGUUUCCCUAGCUGGUACAUUAAAUUGCUCAAUGCUAUUUGCAUAAGUUUUAUUAGCUGCUUUCCCUUUUAUUGAAAAGUAGUUUCUUACAUUGUUAACUUUGCUACCUCUUCCUCUUCCAAGCUCUUCUUCUAUGAACCACAUAGUGAUGAUUUCAAGGAUGAUUCAACAUGGCUUGAGCUUUUUGAUCACUAGAAUGUGAUAAGUGGGUAGAGAAAGGAAUUGCUUCAGCCAUAGCACCAAGCUUGAAGGAAGAACAAGAACAAGAACAAGUCUUAAUCAAUAAAGCACCAUUUGGAGUUUUGACGCAAGAACCAGAACAGUUAGAAUUUGUGAUCGUAGAUAGGGUAUUUUUCUUUGUCCCUUAUCUCAUAAAUUAGUACUCUUGUUGUAUAAGAGUCGUAGUUGAUGUUUUUAUAUAAGGUUUGGUUUGUAUUA